UCACCAGUAGGGGAGGGUCUGUUUUUGGAGAUCUCUCCUUUGGAGUUUUACAGCAAGCACAGGAUACGGGAAGAAGAGCUGCAUUAUGAUUGUUACCCUUGUCAUUCCAGGAACCUCUUCAGGGCACCGAUGGAUGAGUUGGACAUUGGCGUUAAACUGAGAUUAAAGCUCUGAGGAGUUAGAAAGUGUUGGAUAAAAAUGAACAAGGAACACAAAGGACAAAUCUCUGCCACUUUAUGCUUUCUACGUGUGACACAGACUGUCACUAGGAGGCUGUUGUGCCACAGACAACAUGACUGCUCUCAUUUUCCCAUCACUUAAUCUCACAGCUUACAUCUCCUCGGGCCUUGGAACUGUGCCUGUGCCUUUGCUAGUCUCAGUGAGACCUGGAAACAUGCCUUAUUCAGACAAGACAGAAAACGCCUAAUGCUAGAAGUAUCUGGUAGCGUCUCUGAGUUUAGGCAGCUGCUGUUCUCUGCAGGGGGGACUGCAGAGGGGACUCGGCUCUUGCUGCCAGGGUCUCAUAUCAAUGUGGAAAGUCAGUUUUCCAGGGUAGGUCCCCGUGCCAUGUAUGGUUUCCACAGUGUUACUGGACAGUCGUGAGUGCAGCAAACUGCUUGUUUGCCAUCAUUGCUUCCCUGUUCGUGCUGUGCAGAGCAGUAAAGCACGUGGGUACAUCUUAG